GCGGCAGGCCUAACACAUGCAAGUCGAGCGGUAACAUUUCUAGCUUGCUAGAAGAUGACGAGCGGCGGACGGGUGAGUAAUGCUUGGGAACAUGCCUUUAGGUGGGGGACAACCAUUGGAAACGAUGGCUAAUACCGCAUAAUGUCUACGGACCAAAGGGGGCUUCGGCUCUCGCCUUUAGAUUGGCCCAAGUGGGAUUAGCUAGUUGGUGAGGUAAUGGCUCACCAAGGCGACGAUCCCUAGCUGGUUUGAGAGGAUGAUCAGCCACACUGGAACUGAGACACGGUCCAGACUCCUACGGGAGGCAGCAGUGGGGAAUAUUGCACAAUGGGCGCAAGCCUGAUGCAGCCAUGCCGCGUGUGUGAAGAAGGCCUUCGGGUUGUAAAGCACUUUCAGUUGUGAGGAAAGGUUAGUAGUUAAUACCUGCUAGCUGUGACGUUAGCAACAGAAGAAGCACCGGCUAACUCCGUGCCAGCAGCCGCGGUAAUACGGAGGGUGCGAGCGUUAAUCGGAAUUACUGGGCGUAAAGCGUACGCAGGCGGUUUGUUAAGCGAGAUGUGAAAGCCCCGGGCUCAACCUGGGAACUGCAUUUCGAACUGGCAAACUAGAGUGUGAUAGAGGGUGGUAGAAUUUCAGGUGUAGCGGUGAAAUGCGUAGAGAUCUGAAGGAAUACCGAUGGCGAAGGCAGCCACCUGGGUCAACACUGACGCUCAUGUACGAAAGCGUGGGGAGCAAACGGGAUUAAAUACCCCGGUAGUCCACGCCCUAAACGAUGUCUACUAAGAGUUCGGUUUUUCGGAACUGUCUUCCAAAGCUAACGCAUUAAGUAAACCGCCUGGGGAGUACGGCCGCAAGGUUAAAACUCAAAUGAAUUGACGGGGGCCCGCACAAGCCGUGGAACAUGUGGUUUAAUUC
rnacentral:rRNA from 1 species